AUGCAAUGCAAUGGAAUGGAAUGGCUUUACCGAGCUGCACAUCAAUCAGCAGCUCAUGGCAACAAACAAAUCAUCAGUGUAAGUGGAAAAGAAAAACAGAGUACACAUCAGCGAUCUUCAGAGAAGCAGCACGGCCAAGGAUUUCAGCCGGCAGGACAUGGCGUCGGCCAUGGCGGCCACGUUCUCCCGGGCGAUGCAGCUCCAGCUCUGCCCGCUGCCCGAGACCCGGCAAGCCGUCGCGAAGUCAAGGAUCUUGCCGAAGAUUCUGAACAUCUCUACAAGUUGAUCCUGUCCUGGCCGGUGGCGAACACUGUUGGAAUCCAUGGGUGCGUCCGGGUGCGCGGACGCCUCGGUCCACUGGAGCAGCGGUGUCAAGCCGAGGUUCAUCUCGAACACCUUCCGCACCACCUUGUCCCUUCUAUUCGCCGGGUCACACCACGAGACGCAGAGCAUGAACAUGGAUGCGCAGCAGACCAGCGCCGGCGUGUAGUCUCGGAGCCGUGGCGGCGGCCGGGACGUCUGGACGACGGACCAUGA
rnacentral:rRNA from 1 species